rnacentral:tRNA from 1 species
GCCCUCGUAGUAAAAUGGAUAUUACACGUCCCUCCUAAGGAUGAGUUACAGGUUCGAUCCCUGUCGAGGGUGCCA